rnacentral:rRNA from 1 species
AGAUUAAGUUGUAUUUUACGGUAAAAAGACAGUUAAGCAACUUACAUGAAGUUUAUUGAUCAUGCUAUUAGGAGGUAGAAUUCGGAGAUAGCUGAAUAUACCAAAUAGAACAAAUGAGCUGAAGCUGUGAUAACUCUGAGGGAAACUAGGAUUAGAUACCCUACUAUUCAUAGAAGUAAAUCGAGAUCUUACUCUACCAGAGUACUAAGAACGAAAAAUUUAAAACUCAAAGAGCUUGGCGGUGUUUUAGACUACUUAGGGGAACCUGUCUCAUAAUCGACAAUCCACGUUAAACCUAACCUUAUCUUGCGUUCAGUUUGUAUACCGUCGUCGCCAGGUAACUUUUAAGAUAUAAACAGUUAGCUAGCAAAUUUUUAAAUUAAGACGUCAGAUCAAGGUGCAGCUAACGAAAAGGUGUAGAUGGGUUACAAUUGUGUAUUAACAACAACCGAUAAUAAACUUUAAAAGUAGUUAUGAAGGAGGACUUAAAAGUAAAAUAGAUUAUAUAAAUGUCUUGAAUAAAGCUCUGAAACGUGC